UAAUUGUGACUCGAUCGCCUUCUCUGUUCACGGGUAAGUGACGCUAAAAACCUGUUCAUUUGAGGUUCGCGACUAUCCGGUGUGAGUAGCGGACGUAUAUGAA